rnacentral:lncRNA from 1 species
UUUGAGAUAGGAAGACCGUAAGGAGUGUGAGGAGUGAGAGUAAGAGAGGUGGAGCUUGACAUGUCUGGUUGGGAUAGGUAUAGAGAGAUAUGGAGCUUUUGAGGUGGUGGUGAACAUGGAGGGAAAAGAGAGCAGGUAUGAUGAGUCUGUCAUUGCUAAGGGCUUGAAGAUAGAUGUUGCUGUAGAAGAAGACAUUUUGAGAGGGAGGGGGAAAGGAGGAGAGGGUUUUAGGGAAGAGCAGGGAGAGGAUAAGGAGCAGAGCGGAGAAAGAGAAGUUUAAAGCAAGAAGGAAGGGUUGUACAUACAUUCACUUCUAUGCUAUGCGAGGUCCAAAAUCUCUUAUCUGCCAUGGGCUCCAUAGGCCUCUUCACGAUUUCUUUUUUCUGUUUUUAUUUUUUCCAUUGGGCUGUUAAAAUUUUAUUAUGUUUUAUUUUUAAAGUGAAUUUAAGAGUUACUAGUUAUAAAUUAAAAGUGACUUAGUUUUUUCAAUUAUAAAUUAGUGGUGACUUAAGUUUAGCAGUUAUAGUUUAGUGGUGACUUAAUUUCAAUAAUUAGUGGGGUAGUGUUUAUUUAUUUAAUUUUUAUUUAAAUUAAUUAAUUUUAUAAAUAAAAUUUAUUUGAGUUGAGUUUAGUUCAGUUUUUUUAUAUAUACAGUUUCCAUUAUUUUAUUUUUACACGGGCUUGAUUCAUAUUCAAAUUCGAUAAAAUUAAAAUGAUAAUAUAAUAUAAUAUAAAUUUCAUACAAAUUUGAGUAAAAAAAGUAUUUAAUUAUCGAAGUUAAUUUCUUGCCCGAUUCAUUUCAAAUGUUCUUUGUAAUUUCUUUUGUCACAUGUUUGACUGAGAAAUUAAAGACGAAGGAAGUACAUCAAAUAUGUACGCAAAAAUUAAUUUUUAUAUAUUAAAUAAUUAAAAUAUAGUAAUGAAGUAAAAAUAAAUUGAAUAAUUGUUUGAUAAAUUGUAUUUAAAUAUUGAGUCUUCUAAAAUUUAAACUAGGAAGUAGAAGAUAAUUUCUCAAUUUUGUACUUGUAUUUUUUUAUUGAUGAUAAUAAAUGUUUUGUAUUUGUAUUUAUGUUAUUAAACUUUGAGGGCAAAAUAUUAGAAUAUUUUUUCUUAAUUUGCCUUAUUUAUUUUUUCGCUACAACAAAUUUUUGUUAAUUCUAUUCUUUCAUUCAUCCUUGUGUGAAUAUUUACUUUAUUUUAAAAUUUGAACUGUAUUAUAAAUAUUUAAUUUAUUCUUUAAUAAAUUAACGUUGGAAUUAAAUUCGAUAAAAAAUUAGAGUGGACGAAAUAAAUAUUUUUUGUUUAAUGUAAAAAAAUUUUUCUAACAAAUAUAAACAUAAAAAUAUAUUUAUGUACAACUAAUUAAUAUAUAAACUGUACAUAUCUAAAAAUUCCCACUAAUAAAUUGUGAUAUAAAGUUUACAAAAUACAUGAACAUGUAAAUACAUAUAUUUCCAUUUACAUAUAUACAUACACAUAUAAAGAGUAGGUGAAGUAAACAAAGAGAAACAUGACUAGUCUUAUUGAAUAAUGCUUCCAAUGACAAAAAGAGAAGAGAGGUUAAUAGAAAAAUUCAAUAUCCCUUAAUUUGGUUUGAAGAUGAAGUUUGAAUGUAAGUGUGAGUACUCCAUCAUCAUCCUCGUAUGCAAAAUCCACUUUUUCCAGGUCCACUUCACAAGCCCUUGGUCUAAUGUUGGAGGAGGCUCCAAAUCUCCGACACCCACAUACUCUUAUCUUGAUUCUACUGCAUCCUGAAAAACUCAUACUCUCCAUUGUUCCUUCUGAAUUAUACAUAUGGAUCAAUCCUAUCGGAGCAAAAAGAAUAUCUCCACCAAAAGCCUGUAAUUAUUUACAUUGGCACAUACACUAGAGAAGUAUUUUUGUUUUAAAAGAAAAUUCCAAUUUACUGACUCAAAUUAUUGGUGAUAUGGUGUAUAUUUCAAAUUCCGGAGUUUUCAAUGAUAUACUUAAAGAUUUCCUUUCUUUGGCAAUUUGAAAAAGGAUCCUGCAAUGUAAACCAAUUUGCAUACAGGUCAAUGCAAGACCUGACAAUUAUCGGUUAAUGAGGAGAAGGCAGGGAGUUUGGCAACUAACCAGAAUUGAACGCAUAUAUUGCACAAUCUCUGUUCCAAUUUCCGCCGGCAACAUCUGCUAGGAAUUCAACAUCCAUAGGACUCACAUGGCUAGAUAGGGAGACAGUAGAUGCUGCUACUUUUUCUUUUACUUGCUUCAGUGGCCAAGGCCAACCACCUUCUCCUUGACAAUUAAAAACACCCACCACUCCACCUAACUUGUUCAUAUUCCAAAUCUUGAGUAUGCUGUGAAUUCAUAAUUGAGCAUAGAAAGAUUUGAAUAAAGGAAAACGUCAAAGGAGUGUUCAAAAAUAUACCUUUUUCCAUCUAUAACAGGAUCUACAAAGAGACAAUCUCGAGUAGGAUGGCCAGCUUGUCUGCCCCUAAGGAUGGAUCUAUCCGGCAACACCAGCUUCCUGAGGAUAUUGAAGUCAUGAAUGUCUAGCUUGUCGCUGUUGUUAAAUGAUUAAGAAGAUAAACUUAGUGUACCAAGCAGAAACAAGAACAAGUAUUAAAGACAGGAGAGGAUGAUUGUAAAGUUAACCUGGCUCACCUUACAUAUACUCCACAACCACCUAUAGCCCUUGCAGCCCUAUUGAAGUCUACUGAAUUAUGUUUGCUCUAAAAGGAAAACAAGAAACUUGGGUUUAGAUUCUACCAUAGCCAAACUUGGGUUUAGAUUCUGCCAUAGCCAUCACUGUUUCAACAUAGAUUGUCUUGGUUGGUUCAGUUCUAAAUUUCUUUCUAUAUUAAAUUCAUUUACUAAUUAUAGGUUCUCGCUGUCUUAAAUUUUCUAUGUAAUUAUAUAUAAUUUUGUUAUGAUUCAAUGUCAUACCAACUCUUGAAUAAAACAAAAAUUAAACCAUUUAAGGCAACAAAACAUUUGAAUUAGAAUGUAAGUCUUAUAUUUGAAUCUACUUCACUAUUUACAUUGAGUUAAUAUAAGAAAACUAUGCAAAGAAUUCAAGUUAUGGAUGAAAUCAGAUAUGAGAAAUGUAGUUUACCAAAUUAAACAGAUUGCUAAAUGCAAAUUAAAUGAAUUAGCUAACAUCAAUGAAAACCAGAUUUAUACAUGGAAGCUACCGAAGUUACUGCGUUGUUCAAGAAUCUGGAAUCAAAUUAAUUGCAAAUGAAAAGAGAGUUUUUGCUUGUGUAACUGUAACACCGUGCUUACCACCAUGCUAAAAUGUAUUUAGAAAAUCUUAUUUAUUUGGGUUUUAAGGUCACACUGAAUUCAUUUAAUUUUAUUUCACAGUUUUACAUCAUAAUUCAUAAAUUAUGCCAAUUUUAUUAUUUUAUUUAAUUUAACCAAAUUUUGUUAAUUAUUUUUAUUAUUUUUUUAAAUAAAUAAUUUUCAGGAGAAAACAAGAAAAGGGGAAA